GAUGCACUUCCUCUCCAGGGAUUUUAGUUUCUGAAAGGGAAACAUUACAGGAGAACAUCACAGAAUGUGAAGGUCUGGUUAAAAGACCUCAUAGUGCACCAGAAUUAUCAUUCAGAGACAAAUCUACUUUGAAGAUUUCUGCAAAUUUCAGAACCACUAUGGAAGAGAUAACUGUUAUGAAAAAACAACAUUUUUCAGUAGCUACUGAAGCAAG